rnacentral:lncRNA from 1 species
GAGCAUCUGAGAAGGAUGAAGGUUUGGCAGGAGAAACACCUACCAGAUCAGAUGUGAAUGUGUGGCAGAAGGCCCAUCUGGGAAGAUUGCACACUGGGCAGAAGGAAGAGCUAAGAACGUUGUACAGACAGCAGAAGGAGUGCCUCUGGAGAUUGCCCGCUGCAGGAGGGCGGGAACCGGCCCUCAUCCCCAUCGCGAUGGCUGCAAAGAGCCCAGCACCCUGGGCUCAGACUUCUGGGCUCGGCCCAGUGAACUUGGCGAAACUCAGGACGUCUGGGCUAGCCCUGCCAGCCUCCGCCCUGAACUUAUGUGCAGUUACCACCUGCACAUGGCAUGGGGCCGCGGGAGUGGCAAACCCCAACUCUGCCGGCAGCCACCAGCAGCAUAGACUCCAGGACCAUACGCUGCCAUGACCCCUCUGUUAGGCAGUCAGCCCCGUAGCCGCAGGAGGGCGGCAAUCGGCGCUCAGCCAAACCCCAUGGCUGCACAAUGCCCACGGCCUGCGAGUCCGCGCUCCCGCACCAGCCAAAAAAGUGCAGACCCCAGAUGAGGAUCUGGAAUAUCCACAAAGCUGCGUCCAGGGGAACGCGUGGAAGCUGCAGCGGAGCCUCCUGCUCAAGAGAAAAGGCCAGUCUGAAACCUACAAGAAGAACAUGUGUCGGGAACUGCGGGCUGUGGGCUGGGGGCUACUGGAGGAGGUGGGCAGGUGGGGAGAAGCACCCCCUUCAGAGCUGGGAGCUUGGGGAGUGGGGUCGAGGGGAGGCUUGGAAAGAAUGGAGUGUGUGGGGCGGGCCGUCCUGGUCCCCAGGGCGCUGGGCUUUUCUCCCUGGCAGACUCCGCAGCGCCUGA